rnacentral:rRNA from 1 species
CAAAGGGAAGCGAGACAGUGAUGUGAAGCGAAUCCCAAAAAUAACGUCUCAGUUCGGAUUGUAGUCUGCAACUCGACUACAUGAAGCUGGAAUCGCUAGUAAUCGCGAAUCAGAAUGUCGCGGUGAAUACGUUCCCGGGUCUUGUACACACCGCCCGUCACACCAUGGGAGUCAGUAACGCCCGAAGUCAGUGACCCAACCUUUUAGGAGGGAGCUGCCGAAGGUGGGACCGAUAACUGGGGUGAAGUCGUAACAAGGUAUC